rnacentral:rRNA from 1 species
GACGAACGCUGGCGGCGUGCCUAAUACAUGCAAGUUGAGCGCUGAAGGUUGGUCCUUGUACCAACUGGAUGAGCAGCGAACGGGUGAGUAACGCGUGGGGAAUCUGCCUUUGAGCGGGGGACAACAUUUGGAAACGAAUGCUAAUACCGCAUAAAAACUUUAAACACAAGUUUUAAGUUUGAAAGAUGCAAUUGCAUCACUCAAAGAUGAUCCCGCGUUGUAUUAGCUAGUUGGUGAGGUAAAGGCUCACCAAGGCGAUGAUACAUAGCCGACCUGAGAGGGUGAGCGGCCACAUUGGGACUGAGACACGGCCCAAACUCCUACGGGAGGCAGCAGUAGGGAAUCUUCGGCAAUAGACGAAAGUCUGACCGAGCAACGCCGCGUGAGUGAAGAAGGUUGUCGGAUCGUAAAACUCUGUUGGUAGAGAAGAACGUUGGUGAGAGUGGAAAGCUCAUCAAGUGACGGUAACUACCCAGAAAGGGACGGCUAACUACGUG